CAAGGCUUGACAUACACCGGAAACGUCUGGAGACAGGCGCCCCCUUGUGGUCGGUGUACAGGUGGUGCAUGGCUGUCGUCAGCUCGUGUCGUGAGAUGUUGGGUUAAGUCCCGCAACGAGCGCAACCCUUGUCCUGUGUUGCCAGCAUGCCCUUCGGGGUGAUGGGGACUCACAGGAGACCGCCGGGGUCAACUCGGAGGAAGGUGGGGACGACGUCAAGUCAUCAUGCCCCUUAUGUCUUGGGCUGCACACGUGCUACAAUGGCCGGUACAAUGAGCUGCGAUACCGUGAGGUGGAGCGAAUCUCAAAAAGCCGGUCUCAGUUCGGAUUGGGGUCUGCAACUCGACCCCAUGAAGUCGGAGUUGCUAGUAAUCGCAGAUCAGCAUUGCUGCGGUGAAUA
rnacentral:rRNA from 1 species